ensembl:lncRNA
GGGAGAAAAGCAAGAACUGAUUCUCUGGUGAAAUAGUUCAGCAGAAAAAUGCUUUUCAAUGCAAAAGUAUCGUAGGCUGGAUGUUAGGAAAAAUUAUUCUCAGGAAGAUAGUGGUGAGGCAUUGGAACAGGCUUCCCAAGGAGGUGGUGGAGUCACUGUCCCUGAAGGUGUUCAAGAGCUGUAUGGAUGUGGCACUGAGGGACAUGCUAUGUCAGAACAUUUGCCAGGAGCCACUGCAGCCUCAUCCUCAAGGAAAGGAAGCACAGCCUGAUGGAAUCUCACGUUUGGUGAGUGGGCAGGAGGCAUCAGAAACCUCCACGGAUGAGGACAGAGCAGGACGCUGCUGCCGUCUCCCUGCCUGUGGCACUGGUGGUCAGGGAGACGUGUUACAAAGAAGAAUGCACAUCUCUGGAACGUGCCACUGCAUAUUCCCUGUACAAAAGUCCAAAAGAAGUGAGGACACGACCUGUUGUGUGGCAGAAGCACUGCGAGAUCAUAAUACGUAGCUGCUGGUGGACAGAAAGAAGGAUGAGUCAGGUGUGCAUUAUUUCCACUCGGAGAGGGCUGUCAUACGGGUGUGCCACGCAUUAUUGCUCACUGCCUGCUGCUGAAGGAAAGUGUCCCAGUUUUCAACAUGAGCACUUGGUCUGAAUAAUCGCACGUGGCUUCUAUUGAGGAGAAGUAACACUGAUCCCAGUAGGAAAGGCAGAAGUGACUAACACUGAAACAGAAGAGGGGAAAAAAGGAUACAAAUAACAGACCUUUACAGUUCCACUCCGGGGAAGGCUCUAGUUAUGAUACAAAUGAUACAUUUGUGUGUCUGUGACAGUGAAUUAAAAAUGAGAGGGAUAAGCUUGCUGUUGAAAUGAGACUGCACUGCAGUGCUGCUCAUUAGCUCCCACAUGAAGCUGGCAGUCCUCCGAACAACCUUGCUUACCCCUAAAGGGGUGAAUGGCUUCUUCACCAGUUAACACUGGAAGCAGAGGGGCCUCCCGGAACAUGUGGUGUGGAUUUGGCAGUGUGAGCACUGUCCUAAGGCAGGCAGCAGGUAUCGCACAUGGCCGUGUGUCUCACAGAAUCACAGGGGUUGGAAGAGACCUUGAGAGAUCAUCAAGACCAACCCCAUGGCUGAGGCAAGUUCUCUACAGUAGGUCACACAGGCAGGUGUCCAGAUGAGUCUUAAAUAUCUGCAUAGAAAGAGACUCUACAACCUCUCUGGGCAGCCUGUUCUAGUGCUCUGUCACCAUGUUUGUAUGGAACUUCCUAUAUUCAAGUUUUAGGCCGUUACUUCCUCCUCCCUCCCCUCUUCCUGGCUCCUUUUCGUCUACUGGGAAAAGUACAGGUAGGCAGAUAAUGCAAGUCAUUGGCAAGCUAUACUGAUGUUACCAGUGGAAUGAGGAAAGGUUGAGCCACUUUUCCUCUGCAGACUGCUCUCAGUUAAUGUGCUCAUCAGCCCCAAUGGCCGGCUUUUUAGAUGCUCCUGAUCAGCUGUUUCCUUUCUUUUAGCCCACAGAAUAGUUCCUUUUCAAAGCAAACUAAAGUUGCCCUCUUAUCUUCGGGAAUCUCUCUCGGCCAUCCUGAUAAAAUGGCAAUGCUAAAGAAGUUCCAGCCAUAAAGGACUGCCCAUUUGGGGCCUAAAAACUCCUUGGGCUUCUCUGCAGCCUUUCUAUGAAUUUCUUUCAAAAACACUGUUGUUUUUUUUUUUUUGCCAGGAUCAGUUCCGCAUUUACUCGUGUAUAAUUUUCUAAGCUUUGUUUUGUAUUUGUUAGCUUAGUCUUCCUGAGAACUGCUAAGCUCCAGUGCAGAGGAUAUAUCAUUCCUUAAAUUUAAAAAAUUCUGUUGAGAGCCCUCUUGUACAAAACAGCAGAGGAAAGGCUGAUCCAUGUUCUACGUCUUGCCAUUACUUGUUCUACUCAGUCACAUGUUUCUCUUCUACUGUCCUUGAUUCAGCUAUCUCUGAAUCUUUACAAAUCUCUACCAUAUUUAAUUAACACAUAAAUGAAGGAUGCUCUAGGGUUGAGGGCACGGAAAUCACUUUGUGUUGCUGUUUCCAAACACCACUGACCUGGAAUUAGGAGUUAGGGCACAUGUUUUGAGGUGAAAUCCAGGCUGGAUGUGGCUCUGGGCAGCCCGGUCUGGUGGUUGGCGACCCUGCACGUAGCAGGGGGAUUGAAACUCGAUGAUCACUGUGGUCCUUUUCAACCCAGGCCGUUCUGUGAAUCUACGAUUCUAUGAAAUGGACAGAACUUGCCAUAAGCAGUUUGUGAAUUGAGAAUUAUUCAUAACCACUGUGUUAGGAGUAAACAAAACAAAUAAUGAAUUUUGGAAAACCAUGAAUAGAUCUAGGGCAGUCUGCAAACGUAUACAGACGCAAAAUAUGCUGAGUGCAUUUUAUAAACAAUUAUCCACUCAGCUCUAGUCCCCAGUCUUGCAUGGGUCUAAAUUUAAUUUACCACAAAAUUGUCUAUUACCUAAUUUUAUUAAGAUCUUCCUAGAGCCUGUCAUAGUCAUGAGCCCCCAGAAUAACAUUUUGCUAUCAGCCAAUUUGGUGCAUGGGGACAUUCACUUCCUCUUCUAAAUUGUUAAUAAAUAGGUUGUAAAUGCCAAUUAUAUUGUGAUAACCCUUGACGAAUUCAGCAAUUAACCGCUUUCCAUUUUGUCAGUUAUUCCCACAUACUUCUCACCUUGUGGUGAGUUUUCAGCUCGUUGCAAGAUUAAUUUGUCCAGAGAAGCUGUGGUGCCCCGUCUCUGGAGGCGCUCAAGGCCAGGUUGGAUGGGGCCCUGGGCAGCUGAGGUGGGGGGUGGCAGCCUUGCCCAUGGCACGGGGUGGUGCUGGGUGGGCUUUGAGGUCCCUUCCAACCCAAACCAUUCUGUGGUUCUGUGAUUCAUUCAUAGAAUAAGGUUGGUUGUUCUGUGAAAGUGUCACCAAACUCAAUUUGUUAUUUUUAAUGAAUGCCUACACCACUGCUGUAUCACCCGCUGCACGCUCUAGGCAUGGUAGCUGGUGUGUGACUGCAUCUCUGUGCACAUGUCCCCACUUGGCAGAGAUCUUCCUCUUCAUCCUUUCCUCUGCUCCUCCAGUCUGGUCCUGGCAGCUCCAGGUUGUGCCACUUCAGUCACUGGAUGUGCCUUCCUGCUCUGCUCCCUGCACCACAGGGCUCCAGGCCAGCACCCCCACCUCAUUUCUACCACCAGGCAGGGAGGUGUGAGCAAAGCACCCAGCUCCUCAGACCCUUGGUGGGCAGGGCUACAUGAAACCUGGGGACAGACAGCCUGGUAAGGCUGGGAGAGAGGCCAGAAAAGUGAAUUCUGGUGCCAUCUUUCUCCAGCUGAGGGGUUGGCGUGAGAGCCUCAUCCUCUCAGCUACCACAGCCAUCAUGGCCCUGGGCAGUCUGAUCUAGUGCCUGAAUUAGGGGUUGGAAGCCCUUGCCGUGGCAGGAAGCUGGAACUAGAUGAUCACUGAGGUCCCUUUCAACCCAAGCCAUUCUACAAUUCUAAUUCUACCUGUGGUGACUUCUCUACGCCUUUGUAUUUUGACUGUGCCUCCAUCUUGUCCUGCAGUCAGUGGUCUACUUUCCAAGCGUCCCUCUGGCAUGUGGAAAUCAGCUUCACUUGCUUAUACUCUGCAUCAAGAGAACGCAUUCCUACUCACCGCCUUCUGUUCCUUCCAGGCCUUUGGGUUUUGAUCCUUAGGUACUGGCAGAUGGAUGAGAGUGUGCAUGUUCUUUCAAAUUCAGUGGCUGCACAACUCAUUGCAGAGCUCGCUCAGACGAGUGUAAGCUGUGGGAGCUAACUUUGUGCUUGCCUCAAGGGUGCUGUGCAGUCAAGAGCUUGGAGGUCCCACAGUGAGGUGCCCCAAACUUGGAUGAAUGAGUUGAAUAGAAAUGGUGUGUGGAAGUACUGCCAGGGAAGCAGACUUUAUUAACCGAAGUUAACUCCUGCUUUGAAGGAACUAACACUACUUCAGUGCCAGAGGUCCUAAAGGUUUAGGAUCAAUUGAAGGUAGAUGGACUGGAAUCACUGCAAAGAGGCAAAACAAAGAAUGCAGCAUAUCUGUUUCUGCUGUGGACAACCUCCCUCAUCAGGGUCAGAAAAGAAAUAGUUGACAAGGUGCUAGGGGUAGGAGGAAAUGAGACAGUGGGAGCAAAGCUCUGAGGAAAAAUACUGAUGUUUUAACUGCUAAAUCCGGCACAGACAUAUCUAGGAAGCUAAUCCUAUUGGAUGUUUGCUCUAUUUGGACAUUGGUUAGUUAUCAGAGGUGUGUGUGUGUAGAAUGUGGUAUUUUCUGCAGCCUUCUUUAGCCAACUGUACUGUAGGGGUGUAUAAUUCAUAAUCUUCUAAGAACGAUGUUGUGCUCAUUGUAAGGUGGCGCAAUUCUUGCAGAACAUACAAAUUAAUAACACUGCCAACCAAUAGCUUAUUAGUCUGACUCCUCAGCUUUUCAGAUACGUUUCGUAGUUCUGUGAAAUAUUUCUGGUGUUGAGGCAGUAUUAGACUACAACUUACAAACAGUAUACGUAGUAAUGCGUAUCAGUUGCAACAACCAGAACCCAUGGAAAGCACCUGUCUUCAGUAAGUAACGAGCAUAUGACUUCUCUAGAUCGAAAGUCUUGAUCUAAUAGAGGUAGCAAAAACAAAAACCCCAAUGAGCAGCAAAGUACGUAAGGGUUGACCAGGAAUAGCAGAAGCUGUCGACUCCACACUGAAAGACACUUGAUGAAAUGCAAUAAAUCAUCCCUUCAAAGUUAAGAAGCUGGAAAAUGAGCAGUAUGCAGUGGUGUGCUUCUUGACCAUGCAGAUUCUAGGCGCUCGUACCUGCAGUGGUGAGCUGAUGAUAAAUUGUAAAGCGUCCGUGUGGGUGUUUGAUGAGGGCACAGGCGGUGUGUGGGAAGGAAAAAGCACCUAUCUGUGAAUAGUGAAAAGCGCACAUUUCACUUCCUUAGUGCUGAACUCCAUAUGCUCUUGUAGGAUGAGAUAUGGUCUUCUUCACGCUUGCGAUUCAGAGAUGCUUUUAGAAGGGCUUCAUCCAUGGGACCAGGUGUGGGCACCUACAGGCAAAAAGCAGUGGUUGUCCUUGGAGCUUUACAAACAAAAUGGUCCAAAAUGGACCAACAAGGCUAGAAGCUGGGCUGGGCGAUGGGCUGUAGGGGAAUCAGUUUUGGAUGGAGGUGCUUAAAUUCUGCCUGAGCCCUUCUUCUGGUGCUGAAAGUCCCUUAUAGGAGCUCUUCAUGCAACUAUUUCCAUUCCCCAUUGAAUUCUGGCAAUCAGUAAUAUUUUAACAGCAAAGAGCUAAGGCCUUUAUUAGCAAGAUGUUGUGCAAGUAGGGAACAAGCAGCCACAACCGCAAUGUGACUCUGGGGACCAGGAAUAAAGCUUCAAAAAAGGUCUUCAGGGCUUUGAAUCCCCCAAGGAGUGAUGGCAGUUGAGGGAAGAGACUGAAAAAAACCAUAAUAAUCGUGAACUUUAAAUGUCACACAUCGGAGCUACGCAUGGGUUUGUUGUGAAUGUGUUACUGUAGCACCUGCUGGCCCUGGUGAGGAUUCCUCUGGGAUGCAUAAUCACAGAGCACACUGUGGCCAAGAGGAAAUUACAGCUCGUGAUCCGCAAUAUAUGAAGGGGGAAUAAUGACAGACUUGGACAGGUGAAUGCUGUUUUAUCCAUAUGGACGGGCUGCACGGACGUGUUUGUGUCUUUGUUUCCUAUUUGUGUUGGUUCUACAAACAUCAGCACUCUCUCGCAGCUCCGAGUCCAGCCAUUAAAGUUGGCUGUUCCGAGGGUGUCAUCGAGGUACCCUGAAAUAGGGAUUUGAAAUAGGAGAAAAUAACAGCUUAGGCUCGGGCUACCAUAAGCUGAGGGUGGGCUGAGGGGCACAUUUACAUUUAGAUUGAGCCUCUUCACAUCUUCUCCGAGUAAUUGUAAACUCUCUUCUGCCUCAGCCCUGGAAAGGAAUCUGCACUGCUCUGCACUGCCAAACUACGCCUUGCAGUUUGUACAGCAUGUGGUACCUAAGCCAGGCAGUCAGGCUUAGCAUCUACUUUUUGUAAUUAUUUGUGCAAAUACGGCUCGGUUAUCAAAUGUCUGCAUUAAUCGGACAAAGGGUAUCGGCACUGCCAAAAUAAAUCUGUUGUACAAGUGUUAUGUCUGAUUAUGUGUGUUAUUCAACCAACACCCCGGCGUGCUAUUAUGCUGAGAGCCACACAAGCAUGUAUGAAACUGUUCCCCCACCAGGGAGUGUAUGACUAAUUUACGAUAAGAGACCACAAUUGGACAUUACAAGCAAAUAAAAAGAAUAGGAGAGGAGAAUGAGAGUGAGCAGGGCAGUUGGUGCCUGCGUGUUCCUGUGAGAACCAUUAGAGAGCCUGAAGUAAAGGAGAAAAAUUAUUUGAUAUAAAUAAAUGUGAAAUGUGAUAGCAGCAAUCCUUACCGGGCAUUUGCCCAGCCCAGUGGAGAUUUCUGUGGCAUGUACUUAGCUUUCAAGAUGGGGUCCUAUUCUUGCUCAGACGCUUAUGGGGAUAUCUGCUCUCCGGUCCCUAUAGAAUCAUACAAUCAUCCGGUCCAACCACCGAAGCAUCCCCACCAUGCCCACUGACCACGUCCCUCAGUGCCACAUCCCCACGGUUCUUGAACACCUCCAGGGAUGGUGACCCCACCACCUCCCUGGGCAGCCUGUGCCACUGCCUCACCACUAUUUUGGAGCGGAAUUUUUUCCUAAUAUCCAACCCAAUAGCAACAAGAAGAAGAAGUAGCAUUGAGGUAUUUGCAGAUUUGCAGGGUAAGUGAGGCAAACAGGACUCCAUCCGGCACUCAGGAAGUAACCCAG